GUGGGGAAUCUUCCGCAAUGGACGAAAGUCUGACGGAGCGACGCCGCGUGAGUGAAGAAGGCCUUCGGGUCGUAAAGCUCUGUCAUCGGGGACGAAUGGUCGAUGGAGUGGAAAGCCAUUGAAAUGACGGUACCCGAGAAGGAAGCCACGGCUAACUACGUGCCAGCAGCCGCGGUAAUACGUAGGUGGCAAGCGUUGUCCGGAAUUAUUGGGCGUAAAGCGCGCGCAGGUGGGAUCUUAAGUCUAUUUUGAAAGUUCGGAGCUUAACUCCGUGAUGGGAUAGAAACUGGGAUUCUUGAGUACCGGAGAGGAAAGCGGAAUUCCCCGUGUAGCGGUGAAAUGCGUAGAUAUGGGGAGGAACACCAGUGGCGAAGGCGGCUUUCUGGACGGUGUCUGACACUGAGGCGCGAAAGCCAGGGGAGCGAACGGGAUUAGAUACCCGUGUAGUCC
rnacentral:rRNA from 1 species